rnacentral:rRNA from 1 species
UACGGGGGGGGCAAGCGUUGUUCGGAAUUACUGGGCGUAAAGGGCUCGCAGGCGGCCAGCUAAGUCAGACGUGAAAUCCCUCGGCUUAACCUGGGAACGGCGUCUGAUACUGGAUGGCUUGAAUUCGGGAGAGGGAUGCGGAAUUCCAGGUGUAGCGGUGAAAUGCGUAGAUAUCUGGAGGAACACCGGUGGCGAAGGCGGCAUCCUGGACCGAGAUUGACGCUGAGGAGCGAAAGCCAGGGGAGCAAACGGG